rnacentral:rRNA from 2 species
UAUAUUAAAGUUGUUGCAGUUAAAAAGCUCGUAGUUGGAUUUCUGGAUCGAGCUCUCUGUCCGCCGCUGUGCGGUGCGUACUUGAGUAGUCUCGUUUCAUCCUUGCAGGGAAGCGUGUUCGACAUUAAUUUGUCGACACGGGGAACUGCAUCUUUUACUGUGAAAAAAUUAGAGUGUUUAAAGCAGGCAUUUUGCUGUGAAUACAUUAGCAUGGAAUAAUAACAUAGGACCCUGGUUCUAUUUUGUUGGUUGGAGGCCAAGGUAAUGAUUAAUAGGGACAGUUGGGGGUAUUCAUAUUUAAUUGUCAGAGGUGAAAUUCUUGGAUUUAUGAAAGAUGAACUCAUGCGAAAGCAUUUACCAAGGAUGUUUUCAUUAAUCAAGAACGAAAGUUAGGGGAUCGAAGAGGAUUAGAUACCCUCGUAGUCUUAACCAUAAACUAUGCCGACUAGGGAUUGGCGGACGUACUUUUUAUGGCUCCGUCAGCACCUUACGAGAAAUCAAAGUCUUUGGGUUCCGGGGGGAGUAUGGUCGCAAGGCUGAAACUUAAAGG